GGUCUUUAUGUCAGUAGGAACACCUACAUUCGUGCUGGAGUUACGGAGUGGAAGAUUACCAAUCCAGUUCAUGUGGUCUGCUACUUCAGAUACAUGAGAUUUUAUCCUGUUGGCAGGUUUCUUUACAAGAAUUCAUCACAAAAAAUAAAGGAUGUGGCGAAAUCCAUGAACUUUCGGGCAGCUAAAGUAAGCUGUAUUAAUAGUGGCCAUUAUAUGUUGACUGAUGACAAGGUCAGGUUUCAUUUCUUUCCUGAUGGCUAAUUGUUCAAACACUAUGUUCUGCAAGCUAUGGGCUCCCUCUUGUUUCUGCUUUAUUCCAUUAAUAUUACAGAAUCCAAUGAAGAUGCUACGCCUCGAGUGUCAUUUUCCAUCCUGCAAAAUUCUCACUUGAUUUUUCUUCCUUUAAUGCUAAGUUCAUUUGCCUUCUGAAAAUACUUAUAGUUGCCCUCCC